rnacentral:rRNA from 1 species
UAACACAUGCAAGUCGAACGGUAGUAUAUCUUCGGAUAUAUGAGAGUGGCGAACGGGUGAGUAACACGUAAGAAUCUACCUUUGGGACGGGGAUAACUUCUGGAAACGGAUGCUAAUACCCGAUACGCUGUGGAGUGAAAGAAUUUCGCCCAAGGAUGAUCUUGCGUCUGAUUAGCUAGUUGGUAGGGUAACGGCCUACCAAGGCAACGAUCAGUAGCUGGUCUGAGAGGAUGGACAGCCACAUUGGAACUGAGACACGGUCCAAACUCCUACGGGAGGCAGCAGUGGGGAAUUUUCCGCAAUGGACGAAAGUCUGACGGAGCGACGCUGCGUGAAGGAUGAAGGCCUGCGGGUUGUAAACUUCUUUUCUCGAAGAAGAAUCAAUGACGGUAUUCGAGGAAUAAGCAUCGGCUAACUCUGUGCCAGCAGCCGCGGUAAGACAGAGGAUGCAAGUGUUAUUCGGAUUGAUUGGGCGUAAAGCAUUUGUAGGCGGUUUGGAAAGUCUU